CCUACGGGGGGCAGCAGUAGGGAAUCUUCCACAAUGGGCGAAAGCCUGAUGGAGCAACGCCGCGUGGGUGAAGAAGGUCUUCGGAUCGUAAAACCCUGUUGUUAGAGAAGAAAGUGCGUGAGAGUAACUGUUCACGUUUCGACGGUAUCUAACCAGACAGCCACGGCUAACUACGUGCCAGCAGCCGCGGUAAUACGUAGGUGGCAAGCGUUAUCCGGAUUUAUUUGGCGUAAAGGGAACGCAGGCGGUCUUUUAAGUCUGAUGUGAAAGCCUUCGGCUUAACCGGAGUAGUGCAUUGGAAACUGGGAGACUUGAGUGCAGAAGAGGAGAGUGGAACUCCAGGUGUAGCGGUGAAAUGCGUAGAUAUAUGGAAGAACACCAGUGGCGAAAGCGGCUCUCUGGGCUGUAACUGACGCUGAGGUUCGAAAGCGUGGGUAGCAAACAGGAUUAGAUACCCCUGUAGUC
rnacentral:rRNA from 1 species